AAAGCACUUUGGAAAGAGAGUUAACAGUACGUGAAAUUGUUGGAAGGGAAACGCUUGAAGUCAGACUUGCUGUUCGGAGUUCAGCCGCAAGGUGUACUCUCCGAGUUGCAGGCCAGCAUCAGUUUUUCGGGGUGGAAAAUCACGGUUUGAAGGUAGCAGUUUCGGCUGUGUUAUAGCUUUCCGUUGGAUACAUCCUGGGGGACUGAGGAACGCAGUGUGCUUUUAGCGGAGGUUUCGACCUCUUCACACUUAGGAUGCUGGUGGAAUGGCUUUAAACGACCCGUCUUGGAACACGGACCAAGG
rnacentral:rRNA from 1 species